GGGCGGUUAGCUCAGUUGGUAGAGCGUCUCGUUUACACCGAGGUUGUCGGGGGUUCGAGUCCCUCACCGCCCACCA
rnacentral:tRNA from 2 species